rnacentral:rRNA from 1 species
UACGUAGGGUGCGAGCGUUGUCCGGAAUUACUGGGCGUAAAGAGCUCGUAGGUGGUUUGUCGCGUUGUUCGUGAAAACCUGAGGCUUAACCUCGGGCGUGCGGGCGAUACGGGCAGACUGGAGUACUGCAGGGGAGACUGGAAUUCCUGGUGUAGCGGUGGAAUGCGCAGAUAUCAGGAGGAACACCGGUGGCGAAGGCGGGUCUCUGGGCAGUAACUGACGCUGAGGAGCGAAAGCGUGGGGAGCGAAC